CCUACGGGAGGCUGCAGUGGGGAAUAUUGGACAAUGGGGGGAACCCUGAUCCAGCCAUGCCGCGUGUGUGAAGAAGGCCCUCGGGUUGUAAAGCACUUUCAGUGGGGAAGAACGCCUGGUGGUUAAUACCCAUCAGGAAAGACAUCACUCACAGAAGAAGCACCGGCUAACUCCGUGCCAGCAGCCGCGGUAAUACGGAGGGUGCGAGCGUUAAUCGGAAUUACUGGGCGUAAAGCGCGCGUAGGUGGCUUGAUAAGCCGGUUGUGAAAGCCCCGGGCUCAACCUGGGAACGGCAUCCGGAACUGUCAAGCUAGAGUGUAGGAGAGGAAGGUAGAAUUCCCGGUGUAGCGGUGAAAUGCGUAGAGAUCUGGAGGAAUACCAGUGGCGAAGGCGGCCUUCUGGACUGAGACUGACGCUGAGGUGCGAAAGCGUGGGUAGCAAACAGGAUUAGAUACCCGAGUAGUC
rnacentral:rRNA from 1 species